rnacentral:rRNA from 1 species
GUGGGGAAUCUUGCGCAAUGGGGGAAACCCUGACGCAGCGACGCCGCGUGCGGGAUGAAGGCCUUCGGGUUGUAAACCGCUUUCAGCAGGGACGAGGCCUACAAGGUGACGGUACCUGCAGAAGAAGCUCCGGCUAAAUACGUGCCAGCAGCCGCGGUAAUACGUAUGGAGCAAGCGUUAUCCGGAUUCAUUGGGCGUAAAGCGCUCGUAGGCGGUCUGUUAGGUCGGUAAGUUAAAUCCGGGGGCUCAACCCCCGUCCGCUUCCGAUACCGGCAGACUUGAGUUUGGUAGGGGAAGGUGGAAUUCCUAGUGUAGCGGUGGAAUGCGCAGAUAUUAGGAAGAACACCGGUGGCGAAGGCGGCCUUCUGGGCCAUAACUGACGCUGAGGAGCGAAAGCUAGGGGAGCGAACAGGAUUAGAAACCCUAGUAGUCCC